AAGAGUCUAAAAGGCUAUUAUAAACUAUGCAAAGAUGUUAUUCGUUCACAUCCAAAAAUUACUACCAGUCUACAUCUAUUUGAUCACAUGAUCAAACCAAUUUCUUUAUAUUCCUCUGAAAUUUGGGGUACGUUUAACCCAAAGAGUAGUAAAUUUAGAAAUGAUAUACUAUUAGAUAAGAUUUAUUCAGAUCUUGAACCAGAUAAAUUUCACAUGAAAAUAACAAAAUUUAUUUUGGGUGUAAAUAGAAAGAGCAGCAAUUUUGCUGUACUAUCUGAACGGGGUAGAUUUCCUAUUUAUAUUAGUAUUGUGAAAAACUUAUUUUACUGAAUUAUUAUUUUAGAAUUGAAAAUAUGCCUGAUGACUCUUUAUUGUAUAAAGCCUUACAGACCUCUAAAGAUUUAGAUGAUAAAAAUCACAUUAGUUGGUAUAGUAGUGUCAGACACCUAUGUAAAAUUAUUG
rnacentral:lncRNA from 1 species